AGGAAAGAAAUCGUUAAGGGCGUAUGGCGGAUGCCUAGGCUUUCAGAGGCGACGAAGGACGUGGUAAGCUGCGAAAAGCUGCGGGGAUUGGCACACACGAAUUGAUCCGCAGAUAUCCGAAUGGGGCAACCCGGCAUAUUGAAGAUAUGUCACCUCGCAAGAGGAGCAAACCCGGAGAACUGAAACAUCUAAGUACCCGGAGGAAAAGAAAUCGAAGAGAUUCCGUAAGUAGUGGCGAGCGAAAGCGGAUUAGCCCAAAAGUCUUUAUAUAUUUAAAAGAAUGUUCUGGAAAGAACAGCCAUAGAAGGUGAUAGCCCUGUAUUUGAAAGGUAUAUUAAGAUGAUAAAUGAGUAGGGCGGGACACGUGAAAUCCUGUCUGAAUAUGGGGGGACCAUCCUCCAAGGCUAAAUACUCCUGAAAGACCGAUAGUGAACAAGUACUGUGAAGGAAAGGUGAAAAGCACUUCGAAUAGAAGGGUGAAAUAGAACCUGAAACCGUACGCCUACAAGCGGUCGGAGCAGCGUAAUGCUGUGACGGCGUGCCUUUUGCAUAAUGAGCCUACGAGUUAAUUUUACUAGCGAGGUUAAGGUAUUAAGUACCGGAGCCGGAGCGAAAGCGAGUCUGAAUAGGGCGCAUAGUUAGUAGGAUUAGACGCGAAACCUUGUGAUCUACCCAUGGGCAGGUUGAAGCUCUGGUAACACAGAGUGGAGGACCGAACCGGUUGACGUUGAAAAGUCUUCGGAUGACCUGUGGGUAGGGGUGAAAGGCCAAUCAAACUGGGAGAUAGCUCGUACUCUCCGAAAUGCAUUUAGGUGCAGCGUCGUAUAUAAGUUUAUUAGAGGUAGAGCUACUGAUUGGAUGCGGGGGUUUCAUCGCCUACCAAUUCCUGACAAACUCCGAAUGCUAAUAAAUGUUCUACGGCAGUGAGGGCAUGGGUGCUAAGGUCCAUGUCCGAGAGGGAAAGAACCCAGACCAACAGCUAAGGUCCCAAAAUAUAUGUUAAGUUGAAACAACGCGGUUGGACUGCAUUGACAGCUAGGAUGUUGGCUUGGAAGCAGCCAUUCAUUUAAAGAGUGCGUAACAGCUCACUAGUCGAGCGGUCCGGCAUGGAUAAUAAUCGGGCAUAAACAUAUUACCGAAGCUAUGGAUUUAUAUUUUAGAUAUAUCUGGUAGGAGAGCAUUCUAUUUGCGCCGAAGCAGUACUGUGAGGUAUUGUGGAGCGGAUAGAAAAGAAAAUGUAGGCAUAAGUAACGAUAAAGCAGGCGAGAAACCUGCUCACCGAAAGACCAAGGCUUCCUCAGCCAUGCUAAUCAGCUGAGGGUUAGUCGGGACCUAACGCGAACCCGAAAGGGGUAGUGGAUGGACAAUGGGUUAAUAUUCCCAUACUUGCUCACAAUAAAAGGGGACGGUUGGAUGUAGCUGCUGGAGACUGACGGAAUAGUCAAGGCCUAGCCUUCGGGCGAAGCUGCUGUAGUGUAAUCUGAUCCAAGAAAAGCCGAAGUGAAGCAACCCGUACCAAAACCGACACAGGUGGUCGAGGAGAGAAUCCUAAGGUGCUCGAGUGAGUCGUGGCUAAGGAACUAGGCAAAAUAGUCUCGUAACUUCGGAAGAAGAGACGCCAACAGCAAUGUUGGCCGCAGUGAAGAGGCCCAGGCGACUGUUUAUCAAAAACACAGGACUCUGCUAAAUCGAAAGAUGCUGUAUAGGGUCUGACACCUGCCCGGUGCUGGAAGGUUAAGGAAGGUGCUUAGGGUUAAACCGAAGGCAUUAACUGAAGCCCCAGUAAACGGCGGCCGUAACUAUAACGGUCCUAAGGUAGCGAAAUUCCUUGUCGGGUAAGUUCCGACCUGCACGAAUGGUGUAACGAUCUGGGCACUGUCUCAGCCACGAGCUCGGUGAAAUUGUAGUAUCGGUGAAGAUGCCGAUUACCCGCAAUGGGACGAAAAGACCCUGUGAACCUUUACUAUAACUUCGUAUUGACUUUGAGUAAGUAAUGUGUAGGAUAGGUGGGAGGCUUUGAAGCAGGCACGCUAGUGUUUGUGGAGCCAACGUUGAAAUACCACCCUUUACUUACUUGGAGCCUAACUUCUUUCAGAAGGACAUUGCGUGGUGGGUAGUUUGACUGGGGUGGUCGCCUCCAAAAGAGUAACGGAGGCUUUCAAAGGUACCCUCAGCACGCUUGGUAACC
rnacentral:rRNA from 1 species